CCCCCCGCCGCCCAGCAACAAGUGACCACAUGUGUCUCCAGGUCUGCCCUCUGCUCUUCCCAGGAUGCCAUACACAUUUGGUUUCAGUUCCGCUUUAUCUUGACCACACUGCACAGCAACAUCCAAGAGCCCUUUCUACAGUGGGUGGUUUUGGUCUUUUUAUACCUUUUUCUCAAAGUCACUGAUGUUUGUCCCUGUUAAAUGUGUAGCGUUGUAACAAGAGCCCAUCAAAUCCAAAGUGUCAGUUUGUUGUCCCUAUUGUAGAUGAAAUAGUGAUGUAGAAAAACUAGUAUUCUGAAUGCUUUUCCACGUAGACUUAUCUGGAAUGUGAACACAACUCUUUGGUUAAGAGCAAAUGCUUAACUGUAGUCCUGAGUAGGUGCAUUUCUG
rnacentral:lncRNA from 1 species